GGUGGUGCUUCCCUUUUCCCCUUUCAUACAGUAUCUAUUGAUGGCCAGAAAGAAGAGACUCUGGUUUAAGUUGUCCAAGCUACCUAUCUACACUAAAUCUCAUAUUUUAUCCCAUUCUAAGUUGUGACUCUAGCUUAUUUGGAGAUCUUUACUAAUAGCUUAAAAGAAAUUUAAAAAAAUUGAAUACAAUCUAUAGAAUUUAACAAUUAUCCAUAUAUGUAAAAUGCCUAAUAGACAUAAAAGGAGAUUCACAAAUGUUAGGGAGUGACACAGGAGUGUCUCUCUGUUAGGUCUGGACAUGCAGGUGUCUACCUGGAGGGAUGCUCAGGUUAGGGAUGUAGUGAGUCACAUAAAAUACAUUUCCAGCCAGUAUUGCUCCAAGCAGUAAAAAGCAACAAGAAAAUAGUUCAGUGAUUCAGCAGCAUACAGAAAUCCUCUGCUGUCAGUCUGUCAAAAUCACAUGGAUAUUAGAGAUUGGCAAUCUCACACGAGGGGACAUGGAGACAAAAUUAUUCUGUGUCAUCUCAGACUUAGACACAUGGUGAAUCAUAGAAGUAUGUCACUUCUUUAGUUUGAAUCACAUGGUCACAUAUUUCCCUACUUCUUGUUCCUAAAUAAAGUCUGAAUGAACCUGUACUGAAAGGGGAAAAAAUCAUCAGGUUACAUAUGGGGCUACUUAACAAUGUCUAGAUUUUGCUAUUCAGGAAACGAAUGGACCUGAGUUUGGUCCAGAUUUUUAGCCAGACUGAUCGCCACCGGAUGGCUGAAAUCCAGAGUCUAAUGUUUUAAAUCCAGGCCAAGAUUUAAAAAAA